rnacentral:lncRNA from 1 species
CAAGAGUAUGAUGCUGACAUGUGCGGGAGACUGGGAGUCGUCAGCCAUACACGCGUGUGUAUACAGACGCCGAGGGCCUCACACCUCAAGUGUCCUGGAAAUAUUCCACAAAGAUGGCCUCACACCAUUUUACACACUACAUGUACCCCAUAUGUUCAUUGUGGCUUGUUGAGGGCAUUACCGGUGAGAACAAGACAUCUGGCGGAGGAUGAGAGAUGCUUGAGGGCGGCCAUACAUACAUGGCUUCUCUCCUGAACACAACCUCUAUGUAUCACCUGUGUCCAAGGCUGCGGGGACACGUGCCGCUUUGGGAGGCUACUUAUCCAGGCAUUUCUAAAAGCUACUGUAAUGGUUUGUUUCGUGAGAAUCAACAGAGCAUCACCAGGAGCCCUUGAUUUUGUGGAUUUACUGUCUGCAGUUUCCUCACAGCCCUGAGGCAAUGGAACAUCCAUAUUUCCAUUAAAUUGUAAUGGCCCAAGAUGAGCAACGAGUUCACCGGCACCUACUGCUCCUGCCAUGCCUGGGACGUUUGAGUAGAAUUGGCAUUCACAAAAGCUGUGGUAACUUGUCUAGAACAAGUAUGACCACACUUACUGUCCACAGCUCUUAAUUUGUCAGUAUGUAUGGUCACCAAAAGUAUCUCACAGCUCAAGGUUGUGGAAUAUAGCUGACUCUUUGGUGAAUUGUAACAGAAGAAGAUUGACUUAUGACUUCACCAGCACCCACUCCUCCGGCCCUGGCUGGGAUGUUCGAGUAAAAUUGUGUGUCUAGCCCCACCGCCACCGCAGGAGUCUUACUCGCUUCUUGUUCUGCAGCGUCCUGUCUUCAGUUGACUUACACAAAUUACUUAAAACCUUGUAAUUUAUUGAAAAUAUAUGUAUAUUCAAUGUUAUCAUGUGUUUCAGUGCCCAGCUGUUUGGUUAUUGUUAGUGAUUAUGGACUAGUUAAGCUCUAGGGAAUUUGUGAGGAGCUGUAUACUGUAUUGUAUAAGCUAUUAGGAUGCUUCAACAAAUCAGCUAGGCUUUCAUGUCUCAUGGUGGCAGCAAAGCAGCAGUGUACAUAACAAUCUAUAUCAAUAACUUCUCCAAAAAGUAAAGUAAAAUUAAAACUGGCAUUCUACCUUUUAUAAAAUAAAAAGUGGUAUAUUGGGAAGUUGGAACAAAUUUCUAGUCUCUCUUCCUGUAAUUAUCGUUAGUACCGAAGUACAUCUGCAUAGAUUUGCACAUGUUAACAUGAUGGAGUUGAAGGUGGUGGUGUUGCUCUUAGGAAAACUCAAAUCGUUUAAUAUUGUAUAUAAACCUAGCUCAUUUAUACAACUUUGUCUCAAAAUAAGUCGACCCGUUGUUCAUUGAUUUAAGUGUAUGCAAGUUCCUGAAUUAUUUUUUCUGUACAUCUUUAGUAAUAUUUUUAUUUUGUUGGUCAUCAAUCUGGUUGAAUGUCCAGAUUUUCAAGAUAAGAAUUUUGCUCUCCAUUGUCCUUGUAUAAUGCAGGUUAUGAAAAAAUCUGUGAACUGAACUCUCUUUUUUGAUUGAUCAACUUCUUGUAUGUCAUUUUGCUCCUGUGUUGGCAUUUUGAGUGAUAUGUAGGACCCUUUGAAUCAUCUUUGACAUGCAUAAUGCUCUAUGUCCAUGCUAGUUUGGGCCUUUAUUUUUCUACCUCUGUCCAUAAUUUAUUUUAUGAGAAUUUGUUCUCAUGAACAUGAACAAUCUUUACAAAACAGCUUUGGCUGCAUCUGUCUGAAAAAGCCUUAUAAUUUUUGUAUGGGGUUCCUUAGCAUUGUGUAGUAAUUAGUCAUAAGCCACUAGAAGGAAGUGCAAUACAGAUCUUUAUACCUGGUGCACUCAUUGGCUCUUAUCCUUAAUGUCCUGUCAUAUUUUGUCUUGAAUUUAUGGAUAAAAUCUCUAUCAUUAUAAAGUUUUUUGUCAACAAAUC